rnacentral:rRNA from 1 species
CCCGCACAAGCAGCGGAGCGUGUGGUUUAAUUCGAUGUUACGCGAAAACCUUACCGGGCUUGACAUGCAGGUAGUAGGGAACCGAGAGGGGACCGACUCUUCGGAGAGCCUGCACAGGUGCUGCAUGGCUGUCGUCAGCUCGUGCCGUGAGGUGUCCGGUUAAGUCCGGUAACGAGCGCAACCCUCGCCAUAUGUUACAAGUGUCAUAUGGGACUGCCGAUAUAAAGUCGGAGGAAGGUGGGGAUGACGUCAAGUCAGCAUGGCCUUUAUGUCCGGGGCUACACACACGCUACAAUGGCCGGUACAAUAGGUAGCAAGACCGCGAGGUGGAGCCAAUCCUUAAAGCCGGUCUCAGUUCAGAUUGCAGGCUGCAACCCGCCUGCAUGAAGUCGGAGUUGCUAGUAACCGCGCGUCAGCAAUAGUGCGGUGAAUACGUUCCCGGGCCUU